UACGUAGGGUGCAAGCGUUGUCCGGAAUUAUUGGGCGUAAAGAGCUCGUAGGCGGUUUGUCGCGUCUGCUGUGAAAAUCCAGGGCUUAACCCUGGACCUGCAGUGGGUACGGGCAGACUGGAGUGCGGUAGGGGAGAUCGGAAUUCCUGGUGUAGCGGUGAAAUGCGUAGAUAUCGAGAGGAACACCUGCGGCGAAGGCGGGUUGCUGGGCCGACACUGACGCUGAUGCGCGAAAGCCAGGGGAGCGAACGGG
rnacentral:rRNA from 1 species